GAUGAAGAACGCAGCGAAAUGCGAUAAGUAAUGUGAAUUGCAGAAUUCAGUGAAUCAUCGAAUCUUUGAACGCACAUUGCGCCCGCCAGUAUUCUGGCGGGCAUGCCUGUUCGAGCGUCAUUACAACCCUCAGGCCCCCGGGCCUGGCGUUGGGGAUCGGCGGAGCCCCCCGUGGGCGCACGCCGUCCCCCAAAUGCAGUGGCGGUCCCGCCGCAGCUUCCAUCGCGUAGUAGCUAACACCUCGCGACUGGAGAGCGGCGCGGCCACGCCGUAAAACACCCAACUCUUCUGAAGUUGACCUCGAAUCAGGUAGGAAUACCCGCUGAACUUAAGCAUAUCAAUAAGCGGAGGA
rnacentral:misc_RNA from 1 species